CUUUCGUUAACCCCUCGUCGUCCUCCGCUCGUUGCCUCCUCCCCAGAGUCCAGCCGCGCCAACUCCCGAAAGGCCAAAACCCCACCAAAUGGAGGGGGUAGCGCCCGCCGUCUCGCUGUUCCGCCCGCGCGCUUCCGCACGCCUCCCUGUCCUCCUCGCCGCGGAUUCCGGUGCCGCCCGCAUGAGCCCCGGUGCAGGGAGGAGCAGGGUUUCGAGGCGUAGCCCUGAGAUGUCUCCGCCAGGAGCAGGGAGGAGUGCGGUGAGGAAGCACGGCAGUACCGAGGCUGCACCUCGCCGACCAGGAAUAACUAGAGUUCCAAAGCUUGGCCCUGCAGUUUCUACUAAAAGAGCAGGGAGGGGUAAGGAUCCACUUGUUAAUUUGGAGGUCUCUCAUCACAGAGCGGUUGCAGCGGUGAGGUUGCUAAGAAUUGAGAAGGGGAAGGCAUUUGUUGACCUUUUGAAUGAUAAAGCAAAUGAUUCUGGAGAUAAUGAGAUGGGAUAUGUUGAGAGGACGCUAGGUUUCAGCACACGGUAUUUGGAGGACAGGGAUAUAAGACUGGUUACUGUCAUAGUUGCUGGAACUGUGCGUUGGAAGCGUUACCUUGAUUAUCUUAUCAUGUCGCUAUGUAGCGAGGAGAAGGUGUUCAGGGAGAUGGAGCCACUGCUUCUGCAGAUAUUGCGAAUUGGCUUUUUUGAAAUUCUCAAGCUUGAUGUACCAGCUUAUGCUGCCGUGGAUGAGAAUGUAAGUCUUGCUAAAGUAGCUUUAAGGCCUGGUGCUGGGAACAUGGUGAAUGCAAUCCUGCGUAAACUUGUAGUGCUAAAGGAGACAAACUCUCUUCCUCUUCCAAAGAUAGAAGGUGAUGAUCGUGCCCAAGCUCGUGCUCUUUCCAUAAUUUAUUCUCAUCCUGUUUGGAUGGUGAGAAGAUGGAUACGAUUUCAUGGAAAAGACGAAGCUCUAAGAUUGAUGAAUUGGAAUAACAGUGAUCCCCGUUUCAGUCUAAGGGUGAACACAUCAAAAGGAUAUACAAGGGCUGACCUUGUAAAACAAUUGGAAAGUUUACAGGUUCAUUAUGAAGAGUCAAUUAUGGAUGAAUUUGUCCGCAUUCGGGAAGGGAUGCAGGCAGUCUUACAAGCUGGAUUACUAAAAAAUGGCAUGUGUGCUGUGCAAGACGAGAGUGCAGGUCUUGUAGUUUCUGUGGUCGAUCCACAACCUGGAGAAACCAUUAUUGAUUGCUGUGCUGCACCUGGCGGAAAGACACUGUUCAUGGCAUCACGAUUGUCAGGACAAGGGAAGAUAUGGGCUCUAGAUGUAAACAAAGGUCGCUUGAGAAUACUUAUGGAAGCAGCAAAGUUGCACAGUCUCGAUGAUAUGAUCACUGACAUCCAUGCUGAUCUUCGACUACAUACUAAGGAAACCACUGCUAAAUAUGACAAAGUAUUGUUGGAUGCUCCGUGCUCUGGUCUGGGAGUCCUUUCCAAGAGGGCAGACUUGCGUUGGAAUAGACAGUUUGAAGAUUUGGAAGAGUUGAUGUGUUUACAAGACGAGCUUCUUGAUUCGGCAUCAACAUUGGUAAAGCCUGGUGGUAUACUAAUAUACAGUACAUGUUCGAUUGACUGUGAAGAAAACGAAAAGAGGAUUACUGCUUUUGUCCAGAGGCACCCGGAAUUUGCCAUACACUCUGUUUGUGGAUAUGUUCCUACAGAAUUUGUCACAGAUGAAGGUUUCUAUUCCUCAAAUCCAACUAAGCACUCUAUGGAUGGGGCAUUUGCUGCUCGUCUUGUCCGGUCAAUGGACUAAGAUUCUAGGAGUGCCACAAGGCCACAACUAGGAGCUUUACAUCGUAAGGUCCAUGAGGGCAAGACCACAGGCGUGGCAAAGGAGGGUCGAGGUUCUCUAGCAGCUGCAGGCAUCCUAGGUGGUUCAUCGAUGGUGUGAAGGGCAAAACCAUCUAUCUUGACAAAGGAAACUUAGCUUUUUGUGGCUGGUAUGCAGAUGAUGAUGAUGGAAUGGAGAACCUUGCCACACUUUUUUAAUCACAGGUAUGCGCGACCGAGCUGGUAGAAAAGGAGUCCUGCCAUGGUUUGUGGCUACAACCAAAUAGCUGCUGACUUGGUCAAACUCGACAACCUUAGGCGUGGCAGAGUGUGGCAAGUCUGCAUUAAGAAGUAUGGUGCUUUUACUUCAAGAAAAGAAACAUGGUCAAAUUCAGGUGAUAUUGCUUCUUGUACAGCAUCCAGAUUAGCUUCAUCAUGAACAAGAAUUGUGAAGCUGCCCUGACGAAGUCCAUUUUGAUGAUGAGUACCAUAAUAAUGUAUGUUGCAAGCUACGGUACCUGUAACUACACUUGCCUGAAUGGUCUGCACCUGCACAUGUCUAUCUAGUUAGAUCCAAAUGUAGGAUGACUUCGAUGCUUUUGUCCAAUGCUGCAAAUGUUAGAGUUUGCAACGACAAGAAUUUUCCAGAUGUAGCCUAACGUACAUACAUUUAGUUAAGUAUUGCAUUCUCAAAAAACUAUUGUAGUGCACAUUAUCUAUACGCACUACUAGACAAGACGAUCACUACUGUGGAUAAAACGUUAUUAUCAGUAACAGUGAAUAUUAACGAGAUAGUUGGCCUGGCCUUGCUGCAGUUUCAAGUGAAAGGAGAUUUUAUUCAACAAAUAAUCAAAUGUACCAUGUAGGCAGGCACCAAAUUUUUUACAUGAGGGAUGCAAUUGAUGAAUGAGACACUUGAAGAA